ACUAAGUCAGAGGUGAAAACCCAUGGCUAAACUGUGGGAUAGCAACUGAAACUAGAGAUCUUGAGUACUGGAGAGGGAAGCGGAAUUCCUAGUGUAGCGGUGAAAUGCGUAGAUAUUAGGAGGAACACCAGUGGCGAAGGCGGCUUCCUGGACAGAGACUGACACUGAGGCGCGAAAGCGUGGGGAGCGAACAGGAUUAGAUACCCUGGUAGUCCACGCUGUAAACGAUGGAUACUAGGUGUAGGUGGUAAGAAACCAUCUGUGCCGGAGUAAACACAAUAAGUAUCCCACCUGGGGAGUACAGCCGCAAGGUUGAAACUCAAAGGAAUUGACGGGGGCCCGCACAAGCAGUGGAGUAUGUGGUUUAAUUCGAAGCAACGCGAAGAACCUUACCAGGGCUUGACAUCCCUUGAACUAUCUAGAGAUAGGUAGGGCCUACGGGACAAGGAGACAGGUGGUGCAUGGUUGUCGUCAGCUCGUGUCGUGAGAUGUUGGGUUAAGUCCCGCAACGAGCGCAACCCUUAUAGCUAGUUGCCAGCAAUAAGAUGGGGACUCUAGCGAGACAGCCGUUGAGAAAACGGAGGAAGGAAAGGAUGACGUCAAAUCAUCAUGCCCCUUAUGCUCUGGGCUACACACGUACUACAAUGGCUACUACAGAGGGAAGCGAAGCCAGGAGGCGGAGCAAAUCUCAAAAAGGUGAGUCCCAGUUCAGAUUGUAGGCUGAAACUCGCCUGCAUGAAGUAGGAAUUGCUAG
rnacentral:rRNA from 1 species